CAGCCGCGUAAUUCCAGCUCCAAUCGCGUAUAUUAAAGUUGUUGCAGUUAAAAAGCUCGUAGUUGAAUUUCGGGAUUGACACAUCGGUCGUGCCUUAAGGGGUAUGAACUGGUGUAGUCAAUUUCUCACCUUCUGGAGAACCGCAAUGCCCUUAAUUGGGUGUCGCGGGGAACCAGGACCUUUACUUUGAAAAAAUUAGAGUGUUUAAAGCAGGCAUUUUGCUUGAAUACAUUAGCAUGGAAUAAUAAAAUAGGACGGAUGAUUCUAUUUUGUUGGUUUCUAGGACCACCGUAAUGAUUAAUAGGGAUAGUUGGGGGCAUUAGUAUUCAAUUGUCAGAGGUGAAAUUCUUGGAUUUAUUGAAGACUAACUACUGCGAAAGCAUUUGCCAAGGAUGUUUUCAUUAAUCAAGAACGAAAGUUAGGGGAUCGAAGACGAUCAGAUACCGUCGUAGUCUUAACCAUAAACUAUGCCGACUAGGAAUCAGACGAUGUUAAUUUUUUAAUGACUCGUUUGGCACCUUACG
rnacentral:misc_RNA from 1 species